AGAGUUUGAUUAUGGCUCAGGAUGAACGCUAGCUACAGGCUUAACACAUGCAAGUCGAGGGGCAGCGGGAAGAAAGCUUGCUUCUUGCCGGCGACCGGCGCACGGGUGAGUAACGCGUAUCCAACCUUCCCCUUAGUAGGGCAUAGCCCGGCGAAAGUCGGAUUAAUACCCUAUGUUAUUCGUAGAGGACAUCUGAAAUGAAUCAAAGAUUCAUCGCUAAGGGAUGGGGAUGCGUCUGAUUAGGUAGUAGGCGGGGUAACGGCCCACCUAGCCUACGAUCAGUAGGGGUUCUGAGAGGAAGGUCCCCCACAUUGGAACUGAGACACGGUCCAAACUCCUACGGGAGGCAGCAGUGAGGAAUAUUGGUCAAUGGACGAGAGUCUGAACCAGCCAAAGUAGCGUGCAGGAUGACGGCCCUAUGGGUUGUAAACUGCUUUUAUACGGGGAUAAAGUGAGGGACGUGUCCCUUUUUGUAGGUACCGUAUGAAUAAGGACCGGCUAAUUCCGUGCCAGCAGCGGC
rnacentral:rRNA from 1 species